CAAGCGGAGGAGCAUGUGGUUUAAUUCGAUGAUACGCGAGGAACCUUACCUGGGCGUCGAACGUAAGAUGACUGUAGGUGAAAGCUUACAUCUCUUCGGAGCAUUUUACGAGGUGCUGCAUGGUUGUCGUCAGCUCGUGCCGUGAGGUGUCGGGUUAAGUCCCAUAACGAGCGCAACCCCUACCUUUAGUUGCCAUCAGGUUAAGCUGGGGACUCUAAAGGAACUGCCUACGCAAGUAGUGAGGAAGGCGGGGAUGACGUCAAAUCAGCACGGCCCUUACGUCCAGGGCUACACACGUGCUACAAUGGCCGAUACAGAGGGCAGCUACCUGGUGACAGGAUGCAAAUCUCCAAAGUCGGUCUCAGUUCGGAUCGGAGUCUGCAACCCGACUCCGUGAAGUUGGAUUCGCUAGUAAUCGCGCAUCAGCCAUGGCGCGGUGAAUACGUUCCCGGGCCUU
rnacentral:rRNA from 1 species